GACGAACGCUGGCGGCGUGCUUAACACAUGCAAGUCGAACGGUGAAGCGCUUGCCUUUUUGGUGGGUGUGGAUGAGUGGCGAACGGGUGAGUAACACGUGAGUAACCUGCCCUCUUCUUCUGGAUAACCUCAUGAAAGUGGGGCUAAUACGGGGUAUUCCGGGUCUGUCGCAUGGCGGGUUUGGGAAAGAUUGCGCCUUUGGGUGUUUUCGGUGGGGGAUGGGCUCGCGGCCUAUCAGCUUGUUGGUGGGGUGCUGGCCUACCAAGGCGGUGACGGGUAGCCGGCCUGAGAGGGUGGACGGCCACACUGGGACUGAGACACGGCCCAGACUCCUGCGGGAGGCAGCAGUGGGGAAUAUUGCACAAUGGGCGCAAGCCUGAUGCAGCGACGCCGCGUGAGGGAUGGAGGCCGUCGGGUUGUGAACCUCUUUCGCCAGUGAAGCAGGCCUGCUCCUGUGUGGGUGGGUUGACGGUAGCUGGAUAAGAAGCGCCGGCUAACUACGUG
rnacentral:rRNA from 1 species